rnacentral:piRNA from 1 species
CAGUCAUGAAGGUGUCCCUAUAU